UAAGGGUUGGAUAUAAUAAUUAAAGUGAUCUUAUGUUAAGAAUUAUAUACAAGUCAAUCCAAUUAUUGACAGUUCAUCAAAUAGUUAUGGAGAAGAAUCUAAUUCCAUGGCCAAAUAUAUCGCGCUUACCCUUUUUUGAGUCUGGAGACCUCUGGUAAGGGUAAGUUUGCGGUAGUUGGAUGAUUUUGAGACGAUUUAAUUUUUUUGAAAACACUUGGGUCAGCAAUUGAGUGGAGGUAAUCUUACCUGAGUUGAGCGUACUGUCCCCAACGUCAGAGUCUAGUCACCGCAGUGAAGAUAAGCCCUCCGUGCCAUGGACGAUUUUGCAAAGAUUUAUUUUUUCCGAAGGCAGUUUGUGCCCCGUGUUCUAGGUGGUAACCUCACCGUAAAACAUCGGACCUUACGCCCUCCCUCUCGUCUCCUCCCUCCACAAAGUUCCCACCUUUACCCGUCUCCACUGCCGCCAUCGUCCUCCUGCCCGGUCAACGCCGUCGUCCACUGCCAUUGGCGCAGCGCCCUCCUUUAGCCGCAGCCGUCUCCCACCGACGAUGGCGAAUCCGCUACCCCCAUGCCCUGUGAUCCGAGUUCCACUAUGGCCCAAGGUGUGGCGACCAAUGGGAGAUUGGAGGGAAGCAUUAGGGAUGUCCUCAGCAAGUAGGUGGAGCUUGUUCUCCUCCUGCCGGACGAGGACCGCAUCGAGGAGAAGUUGUUUUGUCGAGGGAUUAGACCGCCGCGCGGAAUGCUUGCUUGAACUUUGGCUGUGACCACUUCGAUAUGUCGAGAUUUUCGAUAGAUUUAGUAAGAGAGGGUUCCAGCAGAUUUAUAAGGUACCUCUUUCUUGUUGAAUCCAUCAGAUGAAAUAAGCCGCAAAGUUUUCAUUUUUCUUUUUAUGUGCUUUGAUAUCUCAGGUGCAACUAUUAAAACUAUUGGUGCAUUCUUUCUUGGUGAUCACAAAAAUCCCCUGAUGAGUGUGCAGAAAAAAGCAAUUAUGUCACAGGACCGAACCGGAGAUGACCACCAGAAGGCCAGAUGUUUCUACUGCAUGGAAUUUUGGCUUAUGACAAUGAUGGUGCAGUUUUUGCUGCCUUUUGCAGAUACUCGUAAAAGUGAUGAUAGUUCUUUGGAGAGCUGGCCUUGUAGGGGAAAUGGUCUGUGAUUUGAAAUGAUACUAGCUGUCGUGGCAUGGUCCCGGGAACCCUAUAAUGAGGUCAGUACCUAAUGGAAGUUGAUGAAAUGAAGUUUACCUUUUUCAUUCAAAUGAUAUCGGAUCUGAUAAUUUCUGAUGAUGAAGAUGAAGAUGAUGCGGGUAGUUACAAGCUUGACAGCACUCAAGCAAGUGAAGUUCCUUAAAAGGAUUAUUUGAACAAGGUGUCAAGGAUUAUUUAUGACUCUGAGGAUGAUGAUCCUACUGAUCAUCCUUAUUGUGUAACUUCCUAUUCAUGCCAUAGAUUCUGCAGAGAGAGCUGGAGGCUUAACUCCAAGCUCUUAGGAUCUUAUGAUUGAGAUGAUGACUGUGAACUAGGUUCUAAUUCUGAUGAAAUGAAUGGAAUUUUAUGGUCUGAAUUGGGAAAAUUAAAUGGGCUAGUAAAGGAAGAGCCCAUUUAGAAUAUAGAGUCUGAUGAUGAUGGCAACCUGUAUGCCGAUGGAAAUAGGUAGAGAUGACAUUCCAGUCAUUAAGGAUCACAAGAAAAAUCGGGAACUGCUGCUUCUUUUAUCAGUGGAUGCGAUGGUCUAUCUUCUAGUAAAUUUCACAUGCAUAAAAAGGGUCUGGAGCUGACUACAAAAACUUGAGAGAUAUCAUCACUUUGAUGGAUGGUGCUGUAGAACAUGAUGCUCACAGAGAAACGAAAGAGGGAUGGAGAUGGAACAUGAUCGUCCUGAUUUCUGGAGCAAAUUUGAUGGUCAUUUAUGAGAAAUGAUGAUACAUUCCUGAUCGAUCCAUUAGCUUUGUCGACAAUUAUGGGCCUCGACGUAAGCAACACUUGAAGGAGAGUUGCUGCUGUCCUAUCUAAAGAGGCUGAGUUCUCUUAUGUAUCGAAGACAUGACCGAAGCUAACUAUUGAAUAAUCAUCUUUAUCUUCUGGAUGAUUAAGGAGUCUUCUUUAGUUUCUCCACUGGGCAUGGAGACAUCAAUUUGAUGACGAUUCUUUCUCGCCAUCUUUCCAGUUAAUAUGAAAUCUUCUCAAUGAAUUUUUGUCAUUGUGCUGAGAAUUCUUUGGCAAAUUGAUGCAAUAUUCUGUUCUUGUUGUUAUAUUGUUCACUGAUACCAAUCACAUGCACACUGGAGUAUGUCUAAUUCUUUGUUGUUCAGUUAAACAGUCUGUCAAGUUCUUAUUCUUAGAAUUCUUGAGCUGCAUCAAAGAACAAACGUCAGCAAU